AUCAAUUUUAAAGAUGAGAGUCAUUUGGUUUGAUUUAUUUGUGAUCUUUUCUUCACUCGUUGCAAGUUCUGUGGCUUUUAAAAAUCCGGAAUGUGGUGAGCCACAUUCAGAUGUUAGUCUAUGCAAGGGAGACUUUUCCAGCUGGAGCUUUAACCCAUUUACAAAUAAUUGCGAGAAGUUUACCUACGGAGGAUGUUCUGAUAGCAGGAAUAGAUUUUCUAGUCUGAAAGAGUGCCAAAAUCGAUGCCUUUAAUUAUAAACAUACAUAUCUAAUAGAUGGUGUAACCUAACAUUGCCCAUGUAUUUAUUGAUAUAUAAUAAAAAUUUAGUUGAAA